AGUGAACGCUGGCGGUAGGCCUAACACAUGCAAGUCGAACGGCAGCACAGUAAGAGCUUGCUCUUACGGGUGGCGAGUGGCGGACGGGUGAGGAAUACAUCGGAAUCUACUUUUUCGUGGGGGAUAACGUAGGGAAACUUACGCUAAUACCGCAUACGACCUACGGGUGAAAGCAGGGGAUCUUCGGACCUUGCGCGAUUGAAUGAGCCGAUGUCGGAUUAGCUAGUUGGCGGGGUAAAGGCCCACCAAGGCGACGAUCCGUAGCUGGUCUGAGAGGAUGAUCAGCCACACUGGAACUGAGACACGGUCCAGACUCCUACGGGAGGCAGCAGUGGGGAAUAUUGGACAAUGGGCGCAAGCCUGGUCCAGCCAUACCGCGUGGGUGAAGAAGGCCUUCGGGUUGUAAAGCCCUUUUGUUGGGAAAGAAAAGCAGCAGGUUAAUACCCCGCUGUUCUGACGGUACCCAAAGAAUAAGCACCGGCUUACUUCGUG
rnacentral:rRNA from 1 species